rnacentral:rRNA from 1 species
CGGCAACAGCUCAAAUUUGAAAUCUGGCCCUCUCGGGGUCCGAGUUGUAAUUUGCAGAAGAUGCUUCGGGUGUGGUGCCAGUCUAAGUUCCUUGGAACAGGACGUCACAGAGGGUGAGAAUCCCGUACGUGGCUGCGCGCCUACGCCCGUGUGAAGCUCUUUCGAC